CGCGGCCUAUCAGCUUGUUGGUGAGGUAAUGGCUCACCAAGGCAUCGACGGGUAGCUGGUCUGAGAGGACGAUCAGCCACACUGGGACCGAGACACGGCCCAGAUUCCUACGGGAGGCAGCAGUAGGGAAUCUUGCGCAAUGGGGGAAACCCUGACGCAGCAACGCCGCGUGUGGGAUGACGGCUUUCGGGUUGUAAACCACUUUCAGUGAUGACGAAAAUGACGGUAAUCACAGAAGAAGGUCCGGCCAACUACGUGCCAGCAGCCGCGGUAACACGUAGGGACCGAGCGUUGUCCGGAAUUAUUGGGCGUAAAGAGCUCGUAGGCGGUUCAGUAAGUCGGGUGUGAAAACUCAAGGCUCAACCUUGAGACGCCACUCGAUACUGCUGUGACUUGAGUCCGGUAGAGGAGUGUGGAAUUCCUGGUGUGGCGGUGAAAUGCGCAGAUAUCAGGAGGAACACCAGCGGCGAAGGCGGCACUCUGGGCCGGUACUGACGCUGAGGAGCGAAAGCAUGGGGAGCAAACAGGAUUAGAUACCCUGGUAGUCCAUGCCGUAAACGUUGGGCACUAGGUAUGGGACCAUAUCAACGGGUUCCGUGCCGUAGCUAACGCAUUAAGUGCCCCGCCUGGGGAGUACGG
rnacentral:rRNA from 1 species